rnacentral:rRNA from 1 species
UACGAAGGGGACUAGCGUUGUUCGGAAUUACUGGGCGUAAAGCGCACGUAGGCGGACAUUUAAGUCAGGGGUGAAAUCCCAGAGCUCAACUCUGGAACUGCCUUUGAUACUGGGUGUCUGGAGUAUGGAAGAGGUGAGUGGAAUUCCGAGUGUAGAGGUGAAAUUCGUAGAUAUUCGGAGGAACACCAGUGGCGAAGGCGGCUCACUGGUCCAUUACUGACGCUGAGGUGCGAAAGCGUGGGGAGCAAACAGG